UCCCUGGUGGCUCAGAGGUUAAAGUGUCUGCCUUCAAUGCGGGAGACCUGGGUUCAAUCCCUGGGUUGGGAA
rnacentral:tRNA from 1 species